rnacentral:tRNA from 1 species
AAAAAUUUAGUUAAAAAAAAAUAACAUUAGCCUGUCAAGCUAAAAUUAUUAUCUAUUAAUAAUUUUUA